GACGUAGGGCGCGAGCGUUGUCCGGAUUUAUUGGGCGUAAAGAGCUCGUAGGCGGCUUGUCGCGUCGAAUGUGAAAUCUCAGGGCUCAACUCUGACAUUGCAUUCGAUACGGGCAGGCUCGAGUUCGGUAGGGGAGACUGGAAUUCCUGGUGUAGCGGUGAAAUGCGCAGAUAGUCAGGAGGAACACCCGGUGGCGAAGGCGGGUCUCUGGGCCGAUGACUGACGCUGAGGAGCGAAAGCCAUGGGGAGCGAACAGG
rnacentral:rRNA from 1 species